UCUCUCUAUCUCCUUAGAUUACUGCUUUUCGCCCAGUCUGUGUCUAAAUGAGAGGAAAUGAGGGCUGUGUGAGUUGGUCCUGAGCAUGGGAGAGCAUGGCGAUUGCUUAAUUAGUGUAGGUGCAGAGAGGUUGUUAGCUACUGUUAGCCAGGACAGCAGGCAGCACUGGAGGGAUGAGUGGAGCAGGAGGCCUCUAAACUCUGCUGGGUGGAAGUAUGGAGGUGGAGGCAGCACUGGAGGGAUGAGUGGAGCAGGAGGCCUCUAAACUCUGCUGGGUGUGAAGUAUGGAGGUGGAUGGCAGCACUGGAGGGAUGAGUGGAGCAGGAGGCCUCUAAACUCUGCUGGGUGUAAGUAUGGAGGUGGAAGGCAGCCACUGCAGGUUUUAACAGCCCGGCCGUUCUUGUACUUACAUCACAGGGCUGCAGGGGAAGGUAGACUGUAAUGUUGACUGUCCCCAGACAGACACACACACACACACACACACACACACACACACACACACAAAUUCAGACUACAUAGCCACACGCACAGGUAAAGACACGCAUACAUACACACAUUCAUUCCAGAGACGUAUACAAACAACACACACACAAGCUGGCUGCAUAUUCAAUAUCCGUACACAAACAAACACUACAUACAGUCUUCAAAGGUGGACUUCAAAGGUAGGAAAACGCAUAGCCACGGUCUGAAGUUAGUUACCACUGCAUAAGUUUUCCAAAUGUUUCCAGAAGACAAGUUUCUUCAUAUUCGUUCCAUGACAAAAGGACAGACGCUUACACACACAGUUUUACUUAACACAACAACAUAAAAGCACUUGUUAAGGGAGAGGGCAGGAAGCUGGUAGUAUACUUUUCAACAGCGAAGCACUUCUUUCUCCCCCUAGUCCCUCAUGCCCUGACCACGUACUACAACAGGAUGCUGCCCAGUCAGUGCAGACAAAGAUGGUGGAGGAGGAUUCUGCUCUCUGGUACCAGCUGGUACAGGGAAACAGGUGAUGUUAUUGUGGCUGUGUCCCAACUUGGCUGUUGAUACUAGCAUGGCCACCUCCAACUGGCUCAUUCAAUCUCUCUACACUCCACUGUAACUCUUCCCUGGCCAGGGUGUUGAAAAUGUGUUCAGUUAACGUAUCUGGUAAAGUAAGGGUUAAUGAUCAAAUAUUAACUUGCUACAUUCACACAUACAGCCUACUGUAACUGUGCUUGCUAUACUAAAACAAGGCUAACCAAGACAGUUAUCCAAACCUUAUGCCCUUUGGCUGUACAAGGACGAGGCCAAAUUAAGAGCUAUUUUCAGAUGUACAC
rnacentral:lncRNA from 1 species